UGCCAGAGCUAUAUGUCCCUGCAGUUCUUGCCUGGUUUCCCACUGAAACUAAGUAGGGCUGAGCCUGGCUAGUACCUGGAUGGGAGACCUCCUGGGGAGUUAGUGAGGUGGUAU
rnacentral:rRNA from 1 species